rnacentral:rRNA from 1 species
UGGGCAACCUGCCCCAGACACAGGGAUAACCCCGGGAAACCGGGGCUAAUACCGGAUACUCCGGUCGAACCGCAUGGCUCGAUCGGGAAAGCUCCGACGGUCUGGGAUGGGCCCGCGGCCUAUCAGCUUGUUGGUGGGGUAACGGCCUACCAAGGCGACGACGGGUAGCUGGUCUGAGAGGACGACCAGCCGCACUGGAACUGAGACACGGUCCAGACUCCUACGGGAG